rnacentral:rRNA from 1 species
GGUUAAGUUAGAAAGGGCGCACGGUGGAUGCCUUGACACUAGGAGUCGAUGAAGGACGGGACUAACGCCGAUAUGCUUCGGGGAGCUGUAAGUAAGCUUUGAUCCGAAGAUUUCCGAAUGGGGAAACCCACCAUACGUAAUGGUAUGGUAUCCUUAUCUGAAUACAUAGGGUAAGGAAGACAGACCCAGGGAACUGAAACAUCUAAGUACCUGGAGGAAGAGAAAGCAAAUGCGAUUUCCUGAGUAGCGGCGAGCGAAACGGAACAUAGCCCAAACCAAGAGGCUUGCCUCUUGGGGUUGUAGGACAUUCUAUACGGAGUUACAAAGGAACGAGGUAGACGAAGCGACCUGGAAAGGUCCGUCGUAGAGGGUAAUAACCCCGUAGUCGAAACUUCGUUCUCUCUUGAAUGUAUCCUGAGUACGGCGGAACACGUGAAAUUCCGUCGGAAUCUGGGAGGACCAUCUCCCAAGGCUAAAUACUCCCUAGUGAUCGAUAGUGAACCAGUACCGUGAGGGAAAGGUGAAAAGCACCCCGGAAGGGGAGUGAAAGAGAUCCUGAAACCGUGUGCCUACAAAUAGUCAGAGCCCGUUAACGGGUGAUGGCGUGCCUUUUGUAGAAUGAACCGGCGAGUUACGAUCCCGUGCGAGGUUAAGCUGAAGAGGCGGAGCCGCAGCGAAAGCGAGUCUGAAUAGGGCGUUUAGUACGUGGUCGUAGACCCGAAACCAGGUGAUCUACCCAUGUCCAGGGUGAAGUUCAGGUAACACUGAAUGGAGGCCCGAACCCACGCACGUUGAAAAGUGCGGGGAUGAGGUGUGGGUAGCGGAGAAAUUCCAAUCGAACCUGGAGAUAGCUGGUUCUCCCCGAAAUAGCUUUAGGGCUAGCCUUAAGUGUAAGAGUCUUGGAGGUAGAGCACUGAUUGGACUAGGGGUCCUCAUCGGAUUACCGAAUUCAGUCAAACUCCGAAUGCCAAUGACUUAUCCUUAGGAGUCAGACUGCGAGUGAUAAGAUCCGUAGUCAAAAGGGAAACAGCCCAGACCGCCAGCUAAGGUCCCAAAGUGUGUAUUAAGUGGAAAAGGAUGUGGAGUUGCUUAGACAACUAGGAUGUUGGCUUAGAAGCAGCCACCAUUUAAAGAGUGCGUAAUAGCUCACUAGUCGAGUGACUCUGCGCCGAAAAUGUACCGGGGCUAAAUACACCACCGAAGCUGCGGAUUGAUACCAAUGGUAUCAGUGGUAGGGGAGCGUUCUAAGGACAGUGAAGUCAGACCGGAAGGACUGGUGGAGUGCUUAGAAGUGAGAAUGCCGGUAUGAGUAGCGAAAGACGGGUGAGAAUCCCGUCCACCGAAUGCCUAAGGUUUCCUGAGGAAGGCUCGUCCGCUCAGGGUUAGUCAGGACCUAAGCCGAGGCCGACAGGCGUAGGCGAUGGACAACAGGUUGAUAUUCCUGUACCACCUCUUUAUCGUUUGAGCAAUGGAGGGACGCAGAAGGAUAGAAGAAGCGUGCGAUUGGUUGUGCACGUCCAAGCAGUUAGGCUGAUAAGUAGGCAAAUCCGCUUAUCGUGAAGGCUGAGCUGUGAUGGGGAAGCUCCUUAUGGAGCGAAGUCUUUGAUUCCCCGCUGCCAAGAAAAGCUUCUAGCGAGAUAAAAGGUGCCUGUACCGCAAACCGACACAGGUAGGCGAGGAGAGAAUCCUAAGGUGUGCGAGAGAACUCUGGUUAAGGAACUCGGCAAAAUGACCCCGUAACUUCGGGAGAAGGGGUGCUUUCUUAACGGAAAGCCGCAGUGAAUAGGCCCAAGCGACUGUUUAGCAAAAACACAGCUCUCUGCGAAGCCGUAAGGCGAAGUAUAGGGGGUGACACCUGCCCGGUGCUGGAAGGUUAAGGAGAGGGGUUAGCGUAAGCGAAGCUCUGAACUGAAGCCCCAGUAAACGGCGGCCGUAACUAUAACGGUCCUAAGGUAGCGAAAUUCCUUGUCGGGUAAGUUCCGACCCGCACGAAAGGUGUAACGAUUUGGGCACUGUCUCAACCAGAGACUCGGUGAAAUUAUAGUACCUGUGAAGAUGCAGGUUACCCGCGACAGGACGGAAAGACCCCGUGGAGCUUUACUGUAGCCUGAUAUUGAAUUUUGGUACAGUUUGUACAGGAUAGGCGGGAGCCAUUGAAACCGGAGCGCUAGCUUCGGUGGAGGCGCUGGUGGGAUACCGCCCUGACUGUAUUGAAAUUCUAACCUACGGGUCUUAUCGACCCGGGAGACAGUGUCAGGUGGGCAGUUUGACUGGGGCGGUCGCCUCCUAAAGUGUAACGGAGGCGCCCAAAGGUUCCCUCAGAAUGGUUGGAAAUCAUUCGUAGAGUGCAAAGGCAUAAGGGAGCUUGACUGCGAGACCUACAAGUCGAGCAGGGACGAAAGUCGGGCUUAGUGAUCCGGUGGUUCCGCAUGGAAGGGCCAUCGCUCAACGGAUAAAAGCUACCCCGGGGAUAACAGGCUUAUCUCCCCCAAGAGUCCACAUCGACGGGGAGGUUUGGCACCUCGAUGUCGGCUCAUCGCAUCCUGGGGCUGUAGUCGGUCCCAAGGGUUGGGCUGUUCGCCCAUUAAAGCGGUACGCGAGCUGGGUUCAGAACGUCGUGAGACAGUUCGGUCCCUAUCCGUCGUGGGCGUAGGAAAUUUGAGAGGAGCUGUCCUUAGUACGAGAGGACCGGGAUGGACGCACCGCUGGUGUACCAGUUGUUCUGCCAAGGGCAUAGCUGGGUAGCUAUGUGCGGAAGGGAUAAGUGCUGAAAGCAUCUAAG